GAGUUUGAUCAUGGCUCAGAUUGAACGCUGGCGGAAUGCUUUACACAUGCAAGUCGAACGAUGAAGCCUAGCUUGCUAGGUGAAUUAGUGGCGGACGGGUGAGUAAUAUAUCGGAACGUGUCCAUUAAUGGGGGAUAACUAGUCGAAAGGCUGGCUAAUACCGCAUACGCCCUGAGGGGGAAAGCUGGGGAUCUUCGGACCUAGCGUUAAUGGAGCGGCCGAUACCUGAUUAGCUAGUUGGUGGGGUAAAAGCCUACCAAGGCAACGAUCAGUAGCUGGUCUGAGAGGACGACCAGCCACACUGGGACUGAGACACGGCCCAGACUCC
rnacentral:rRNA from 12 species